rnacentral:lncRNA from 1 species
UUCCCUAAUGGGUCUCUUAUGCGGUUGGUUGGGGGGUCUCUAGGGGUGGGCGGUCUCUAUGGGGUGGGGGUGCUCUAUGGGAAUAUGGGGUCCUAUGGGCGGGGGGUCUCUAUGGGGUGGGGGUGGUCUAUGGGAUAUGGGGUUCUCUAUGGGGGGGGGUCUCUAUGGGGUGGGGGGGUCUCUAUGGGGUGGUGGGGGGAUAUGGGGUCUCUACCUGGUAUAUGGGGGUCCUCUAGGAUAUAGGGUCUCUAUGGGGUGGGGGUCUCUAUGGGUGGUCUCUCUAUGGGUGGGGGUUCCCUAUGGGGCGCUAUGGGGUGAGGGGUUCUAUGGGGUGGGGGUCUCUAUGGGGUGGCGGUCUUUAAUGGGGUUGGGGGUCUCUUAUGGGUGGGUCCUAUAGGGUGGGGGUUUCUAUUGGGUGGGGUCUCUAUGGGGUGGGGGUCAUCUAUGGGGUGGGGGUCCACUAUGGGUGGGGGUCUCUAUGGGGCAGGGGGUCUCUAUGGGAUGGGGGUCUCUAUGGGGUGGGGGUUCCCUAUGGGGCGCUAUUGGGGGGUGAGGGGUGGUUCUAUGGGGUGGGGUCUCUCUAUGGGUGGGGUCUCUAUGGGAAUAUGGGGUCUUCUAUGGGGUGGGGUCUCUACGGGGUGGGGGUUCUAAAUGGGGUGGGGGUCUCUAUAGGGUGGGGUCUCUCUAUGGGUGGGGGUCACCUCUAUGGGGCGCUAUGGGGUGGGGUUCUUCUAUGGGGUGGGUUCUCUCUAUGGAGUGUGGGGUUCACUAUGGGGCGGGGAGUCUCUAUGGGGCAGGGGUCUCUCUAUGGGGCGGGGGUCUCUCUCAUGGGUGGGGGUCUCUAAUGGGUGGGGUCUCUAUGGGGUGGGGGUCCUCCUAUGGGGUGGGGGGGUCUCUCUAUGGGGGGUCCUCCCUAUGGGGGGGGGGUCUAUAUGGGGUGGGGGUCUCUAUGGGGUGGGGGUCUCUAUGGGGGGGGGGUCCUUAUGGGUGGGGUACCUCUAUGGGGGGGGGUCUGCUAAUGGGGUGGGGGUCCUUAUGGGGGGGGGUCUAUAUGGGGUGGGGGUCUCUAUGGGGUGGGGUCCUCUCUAUGGGUGGGGUCUCUAUGGGUGGUCCUCUAUGGGUGGGGGUUCCCUAUGGGGCGCUAUGGGUGAGGGUGUUCUCUGGGGUGGGGGUCUCUCUACUGGGGUGGGCUCCUCUCUAUGGGGCAGGGGUCUCUCUAUGGUGGUGGGGUUCCCGCUAUGGGGCGCUAUGGGGCAGGGGUCCUCUCUAUGGGCGGGGUCUCUCUAUGGGGUGGGGUCUCUAUGGGGUGGGUCUCUCUAUGGGGGGUCUCUCUAUGGGGCGGGGUCUCUCAUGGGGUGGGGUUCUCCUAUGUGGGCGCUAUGGGCAGGGGUCUCCUCUAGGGCAGGGUCUCUCUAUGGGGGCGGGGCCUCUCUAUGGGGCGGGGUCUCCUUCUAUGGGGCAGGGUCCUCUAUGGGUUCUCUAUGGGCAGGGUCUCUUCUAUGGGGUGGGGGUCUCUCUAUGGGGUGGGUCUCUCUAUGGGGCAGGGUCUCUCUAUGGGGCAGGGGUCUCUCUAUGGGGCAGGGUCUCUCUAUGGGGCAGGGGUCUCUAUGGGUCUCUAUGGGGCAGGGUCUCUCUAUGGGGCAGGGUCUCUCUAUGGGGCGGGGUCUCUCUAUGGGGUGGGUCUCUCUAUGGGGCAGGGUCUCUCUAUGGGGCAGGGUCUCUCUAUGGGUCUCUAUGGGGCAGGGUCUCUCUAUGGGGCAGGGUCUUUCUAUGGGGCGGGGUCUCUCUAUGGGUCUCUAUGGGGCAGGGUCUCUCUAUGGGGCAGGGGUCUCUCUAUGGGUCUCUCUAUGGGGCAGGGGUCUCUAUGGGUCUCUAUGGGGCAGGGUCUCUCUAUGGGGCGGGGUCUCUCUAUGGGGCGGGGUCUCUCUAUGGGUCUCUAUGGGGCAGGGGUCUCUAUGGGGCAGGGUCUCUAUGGGUCUCUAUGGGGCAGGGUCUCUCUAUGGGGCAGGGGUCUCUCUAUGGGGCAGGGGUCUCUAUGGGUCUCUAUGGGGCAGGGUCUCUCUAUGGGUCUCUAUGGGUCUCUAUGGGGCAGGGUCUCUCUAUGGGGCAGGGUCUCUCUAUGGGGCAGGGUCUCUCUAUGGGUCUCUAUGGGGCGGGGUCUCUCUAUGGGGCAGGGUCUCUCUAUGGGUCUCUAUGGGUCUCUAUGGGGCAGGGUCUCUAUGGGUCUCUAUGGGGUCUCUAUGGGUCUCUAUGGGGCAGGGUCUCUCUAUGGGUCUCUAUGGGUCUCUAUGGGNUCUCUAUGGGUCUCUAUGGGUCUCUAUGGGGCAGGGUCUCUCUAUGGGUCUCUAUGGGUCUCUAUGGGUCUCUAUGGGGCGGGGUCUCUCUAUGGGGCCGGCUCUGACCCAUAGCUGCUCCCCCCCCCCCCACAUUCAGGCUGUUCCUAUGGGGCUCCUGCGCCCCCCCGCGGCCCCACGGCGCAUCCACAACCAGGUCAAGGAGCAUCAGAAGCAUUUCCAGGAGGACAAUGGUCUCCCCGUUCACCUCAAGGGGGGGGCGCUGGACUCGGCCUUGUACCACGUGACCACGGCGAUCUGCUGCCUGGGUACAGCCCAUAGGAACACAUAGAGACCCAUAGCGACCCAUAGAGACCCCAUAGAGACCCAUAGAGACCCAUAGAGACCCAUAGAGCCCCAUAGAGCCCCAUAGGGACCCAUAGAGACCCAUAGAGA